UUGUGAAAGGGGCCGACCUUAUUGGCGCAGAGGGGAACAGAAUCGCCGUCCUUGUAGCGGUGAUUGGAGGCGUCCGAUCUCACGUGAGUUACAGAACAAGCGAUUAGAAGCGCGACAGGGAGAAUUGUUGAAAGAAUUCCCAUGCUUGUUUGUUUGAUUUCUCCCAUUUUCCCAUCUCUUGAAGUGAGGAUCAACAGACUCCAGGC
rnacentral:misc_RNA from 1 species